GUGAAUCAUCGAAUUUUUGAACGCAAAUUGCACUCUCCUCGGAGAGUAUGCCUGUUUGAGGGCCAGCCUAUAAAAAAUCGGCAUCGUUGCUGUUUCGCGGUGACGUUCGUCGGAAAUUGGGUCAUCUUAAAUCCUUUUGGGUUUAGGCGACUUAAAAAUUUCUUGUUGGUUCCAUGAACGUUUCUAAGAUUUAUUUCUUUACACGUUUAAGGUAUCUAUUUUUAUUAGACGUGACCAUCAUAUCGGACCACGUCCUUUAUCUUUCAUUAACUUAAC
rnacentral:misc_RNA from 1 species